GACGAACGCUGGCGGUGUGCUUAACACAUGCAAGUCGAACGGAAAGGCCCUGCUUUUGUGGGGUGCUCGAGUGGCGAACGGGUAAGUAACACGUGAGUAACCUGCCCUUGACUUUGGGAUAACUUCAGGAAACUGGGGCUAAUACCGGAUAGGAGCUCCUGCUGCAUGGUGGGGGUUGGAAAGUUUCGGCGGUUGGGGAUGGACUCGCGGCUUAUCAGCUUGUUGGUGGGGUAGUGGCUUACCAAGGCUUUGACGGGUAGCCGGCCUGAGAGGGUGACCGGCCACAUUGGGACUGAGAUACGGCCCAGACUCCUACGGGAGGCAGCAGUGGGGAAUAUUGCACAAUGGGCGGAAGCCUGAUGCAGCAACGCCGCGUGCGGGAUGACGGCCUUCGGGUUGUAAACCGCCUUCGCCUGUGACGAAGCGUGAGUGACGGUAAUGGGUAAAGAAGCACCGGCUAACUACGUG
rnacentral:rRNA from 1 species